UACGUAGGGUGCAAGCGUUAAUCGGAAUUACUGGGCGUAAAGCGUGCGCAGGCGGCUUUGCAAGACAGAUGUGAAAUCCCCGGGCUCAACCUGGGAACUGCAUUUGUGACUGCAAGGCUGGAGUACGGCAGAGGGGGAUGGAAUUCCGCGUGUAGCAGUGAAAUGCGUAGAUAUGCGGAGGAACACCGAUGGCGAAGGCAAUCCCCUGGGCCUGUGACUGACGCUCAUGCACGAAAGCGUGGGGAGCAAACAGG
rnacentral:rRNA from 1 species